rnacentral:rRNA from 1 species
GAUGACGCUGGCGGCAGGCCUAACACAUGCAAGUCGAACGAGUGGCGGACGGGUGAGUAAGGUCUGGGAAACUGCCUAAUGGAGGGGGAUAACUACUGGAAACGGUAGCUAAUACCGCAUACCAUCGGAUGUGCCCAGGGGGGAUUAGCUAGUAGGUGGGGUAACGGCUCACCUAGGCGACGAUCCCUAGCUGGUCUGAGAGGAUGACCAGCCACACUGGAACUGAGACACGGUCCAGACUCCUACGGGAGGCAGCAGUGGGGAAUAUUGCACAAUGGGCGCAAGCCUGAUGCAGCCAUGCCGCGUGUAUGAAGAAGGCCUUCGGGUUGUAAAGUACUUUCAGCGGGGAGGCGUUACCCGCAGAAGAAGCACCGGCUAACUCCGUGCCAGCAGCCGCGGUAAUAC